CCUACGGGAGGCAGCAGUGGGGAAUAUUGCACAAUGGGCGAAAGCCUGAUGCAGCGACGCCGCGUGAAGGAUGAAGUAUUUCGGUAUGUAAACUUCUAUCAGCAGGGAAGAAAAUGACGGUACCUGACUAAGAAGCCCCGGCUAACUACGUGCCAGCAGCCGCGGUAAU
rnacentral:rRNA from 1 species